CCUGCUAUUUAUGCCGCACACUCAAGACACCAAUUGUCAAGAAUUUCCCUGCAAACUGUCAUAUGUAAGUGAAUGUGUUUGGAGGAAGCCGCGGCGGCGGCGGCGGCGGGCGAGCGGCGCGGAGGGAGAGACGCCACUUCUCAGCCGCUGAGCCAAUCCGUCUGGGCAUGAGGGGGACAUGACGGAGGCAUCUGAGCAGGCUCAGUUUAGCGACACAGUGUCACCACAACAGUGUGCGAGGGGCUCCGGCUGGAGGAAGGACGGAGGGAAGACUGAAUGCUGCACGGAGCAGGAGUCAUUCUGCCAGACCAUGGACCUGACCAGUGAUUCUUGGGAUCUUGAUGCACUACAGUAACAGUUUGACUAUCUUCUAUUAUCAUACUGAAUUAAAAACAACAAAUAUACCAC